rnacentral:tRNA from 1 species
GAGGGGAUAGUCUAAGAAAGACAGCUGAUUUCGACUCAGCUAAUUAUGGUUUAACUCCGUAUUCCCUCU